rnacentral:rRNA from 1 species
UACGUAGGGUGCAAGCGUUGUCCGGAAUUAUUGGGCGUAAAGAGCUCGUAGGCGGCUUGUCGCGUCGACCGUGAAAACUCGCAGCUCAACUGCGAGCCUGCGGUCGAUACGGGCAGGCUAGAGUUCGGUAGGGGGAGACUGGAAUUCCUGGUGUAGCGGUGAAAUGCGCAGAUAUCAGGAGGAACACCGAUGGCGAAGGCAGGUCUCUGGGCCACUACUGACGCUGAGAAGCGAAAGCAUGGGGAGCGAACAGG